AACAGUAACAAAAUGGGGAGGCUGAAAGGUGUCGCCUGUGCGGAUGCUGAAUCUCUCCUCUCUUACAGCCAGACACAGCCCAGUGGAGUCACAGCUCCGAGGGAUCUCAUUGUGCCUGCUGCAAUGUACUUCAUGGCCGGGCAGGACCUUGCAGGCAAAGAAAAGAGACAUAAUUUAACAACUGCUUGAAGAAAGUCCUGGUUGAAUGUAUCAUGUCACAAGUCAAGCUGAAUGCCAGGGGAGACACUCCAGAUGGACUCAGUCUGGCACUUCUGACUCUGGAGAAAAACAGCUGAGGUCAAAUCUUAAUGCUACUGAAUCUGAGGUGUGAUUUGUUUCAGCUCACUGAUAGCAUUUCUCCUAUUUUUUUCUUGGUGUAAGGAAUACAUCACAGAACAAAAAGAUUUCUGGAGACAAACAUCAUGGGCAUUGAUGUAGCACCACACCACGCUCUGCCUCAUUCAUCUGUACUCCUUCUCCCUGCCAAGCCUCUCAUGAUUCGUUCACUUUUAUUUAAAGCUGGGAAAAAAAAGUUCAGAAAACUAGCUCAUAUGGAAAAGAAAAAUCAGGUCACUCAGACUGGUCUGCAGAUUCAGGUCAUAUUCAGUGACACGUUUAAAUGGAAAAAAAUAUGGGAGAAUCAGUAAAAUGAGGAGUAUUUUUCCUAUUCUGUUAAUAUGAAACCUCACUGUUCUUUUGUUUCAAAAAUAUUGGAAAGACAUUUUGAAUCCAAAAUACUAAACGGGGAUUAAACAGAGAAGGAAAUGAGCCAGAAGCAAACCAAACACAAUCUCUUUGCAAAUAAAAUGUCCUAUUAACUCCCAAAUGGCUUUUUGAUUUGGAGAAAUGAAAGAUAUUUUUAAUUUUUAAAUUAAAAUACAGAACCAAAAUGCAAUUAUUUUCAAUUCUGUCUCAAAUGAAGAGCUGAAGGUUUGUUUCUAACAUGUUUAUUUGUUUAAUAUGUUAGACAGGUAAUGUUAUACACAUCCUCAUUGUGACUUUUCUUCCUGUGUGCAUGGAAGAAUUCCUUUCUGGCACACAAAGCAAACAGGUGUGAGCCAGAGCAAGGUGUCCCACAGGCCAUAACCAACAAAUAACUAAUUGGCAUCCAUGCUGCAACAGGGCAAAGAUCCAGCCAAAUUAUGAUGAGGCACUGUGCCAUCCUAAUAGACUCACAUUAACAAGGACGCCAAGAUUCCAUAAAUUUGCAUUAUUUACAUUUAGUUAGAACAGGGUUCCCAGCUGGGAAGUUCCACAUGGUUGUCCAUCCUGAUCAUAUACAAUUAUGAUGGAAAAAGACCUCUCUGACUAAUCCAGCAUCCUGAAAUAGUUUUCAGCAAGCAUUUAAACAUUAAUAAUUACUUAAAAAUGCUCCCACUCUUCUACCUCAAUAAAUAAUUGGGAAUUGUAUUUUUGUUCUUUGUACAAAAUGAAUAAAAAAUUUAUACAAUUA